UCCUCACUAGUAUAUCGGUUAGUAUAUUCGCCUCUCAGUUGAGAGCGCCGGCGACGAGAGUCUCGGUAUUACCGCGAAAGAGCAGGGUUCAACUCCCUGGUGGGGAA